rnacentral:tRNA from 1 species
CGGGGUGUAGCUAAGCCAGCCCAGCGUCUCCCUUACACCGAGAAGACAUCCGUGCAAACCGGAUUACCCCGA